GAUGUGGAGCCAGAGUUAGCAAAAGUGAAAACAGCAGCAGAGAAGAGAAGCAUUGGAAAAAGGAGAAGCAGAGGCCAAAUCAGCAGAUGCUGAAAGAAGAGGGAAGCAGAACAGGGCAAAGUCAGCAGAAGGUAAAAUAGCUGCAGAAAGGAGAAGCAUGG